GAUGAACGCUAGCGGCAGGCUUAACACAUGCAAGUCGAGGGGCAGCGCGAUGUAGCAAUACAUUGGCGGCGACCGGCGCACGGGUGCGUAACACGUAUGGAAUCUGCCCUUUACUGGGGGAUAGCCCGGAGAAAUCCGGAUUAAUACCCCAUAACAAUCGAGGUGGCAUCACCUUGAUUUGAAAGCUCCGGCGGUAAAGGAUGACCAUGCGCACGAUUAGCUAGUAGGUGAGGUAACGGCUCACCUAGGCUACGAUCGUUAGGGGGCCUGAGAGGGUUAUCCCCCACACUGGUACUGAGACACGGACCAGACUCCUACGGGAGGCAGCAGUGAGGAAUAUUGCGCAAUGGAGGCAACUCUGACGCAGCCAUGCCGCGUGCAGGAAGAAGGCGCUACGCGUUGUAAACUGCUUUUAACCGGGAAGAAACCCCUCUACGUGUGGAGGGUUGACGGUACCGGAGGAAUAAGCACCGGCUAACUUCGUG
rnacentral:rRNA from 1 species